GAUGAACGCUAGCUACAGGCUUAACACAUGCAAGUCGAGGGGAAACGAUAGAGAAAGCUUGCUUUUUCUAGGCGUCGACCGGCGCACGGGUGAGUAACGCGUAUCCAACCUGCCCAUCACUUGGGGAUAACCUUGCGAAAGUAAGACUAAUACCCAAUGAUAUCUCUAGGAGACAUCUGAAGGAGAUUAAAGAUUUAUCGGUGAUGGAUGGGGAUGCGUCUGAUUAGCUUGUUGGCGGGGUAACGGCCGACCAAGGCGACGAUCAGGAGGGGUUCUGAGAGGAAGGUCCCCCACAUGGGAACUGAGACACGGUCCAAACUCCUACGGGAGGCAGCAGUGAGGAAUAUUGGUCAAUGGGCGAGAGCCUGAACCAGCCAAGUAGCGUGCAGGAUGACGGCCCUAUGGGUUGUAAACUGCUUUUAUAAGGGAAUAAAGUGAGUCUCGUGAGACUUUUUGCAUGUACCUUAUGAAUAAGGACCGGCUAAUUCCGUGCCAGCCGCCGCCGUAA
rnacentral:rRNA from 1 species